CGGAAACCGGGAAAGGGAAUAACACUCGAAAUGUAUAUAAGAAAUACUCAAGUUAAUAAAAAAAAAAUUUAAAAAAAAAAGUGGGUAGAGAAGGAGGAUUGGAGGACCUGCAUUUGCAGACGUUGCACAAAGGUAUGAGAAAGUAGAGCGUCUUAGACAAAAGGACGGAGCUAUUCAGGAGGGUAAGAUCCCAACUGUAAAGGGUAUUUGUCUUCUUAAGCAGUAUGGAUGCAAUUUUGUUGGACCCUAAGCUCAGCAUUCUUGAGGCUUUCUAGAAGGGCUCUCGUCAGACUCCCAUCCCAGACCAACUGUCUCUGAAACACAAGGUGGAACCUAGACAAUUACUCUAGCGAAUCCUCCAGCUACUGUUCAUGGACACUGAAGGGUAGGAACCAUUGACCAAUGAUGGCUUGAUAGAAAAACUAAGCACAUGCAGAGAAACCAUUCUCUUCCCACAGAGCAAAUGACGAGGUUCUAUUUUCAAAUGAAAGAAUUGCUUAUGCAUGUGAAAGGUGGAAGUCAGAGGAGGGAUGACUGCAGAGAGACUGUUAGGAGACCAUGUAUGGCAUGUGCCAAAUAAAGGCAAGGAAAAUGGCAGUCAGGGUGGCAGGAAGGGCAGACUUGUGAGACUGCGCUGACAGAUAUGACAGCUGCAUGUGGGAGGCAGUGGAGGGUUAAUGUCCAGGGUGACCUAUUAAGUAGCAGUUGCCUUGUGAGUGUUGUUCAGAUGCACUUCUGGGCAGCUCACCUAGACUUUGAUGCUUACACACGCCUCCCCUUUAGGGUGCUUUUGUGACUGCGGUUUAGAAAAGGGCCCUCUCCUAGUGACUGAUAAUGCACAAAAAAUGCAUGUGAGCACUUUCUGCCAAUGGCCCGCCCAAGAUCCAGGAUUUUAAGAACGAAGGAAACACAGUAAUCAGAAAGACCUACUAUCCGACUUCUCAGGGGCUGCGUGCGAUCCUGGGGCAGACAGGAAAUAUACAACCGUGGAACAUCCUGGGUUGCUAUGCAAUUUCAAAAACAAAAUGCUCAGAAGGAGAAAAACUGAUGAGCACACAUUGCAGUGACCCAGGAAAUAGCCUGGAGCAAAGGCAUGGAUAGCCAUGUGGGGCAGCGCUUUAGAAGGAUACCUGCUAUAACCAUGAGAUUUCACUCCUUUACAAAAGAUCCUUGCAUGUUCCCCAAGGUAUCCAGCUCACUAACGUUAAAGGCAGAUGCAAAGACUGCCUCAGACAGGAAGAUACGAAGGGGCAGCAGGACGUCAUGCAAUUGGGAUUCUGAGUCCAAUCCUAAAGCACAAAUAGACUGGAGAUAAAAAUGUGACCCAAACUUGGUAAAUCUGAAAUAAAGACUAAACUAAUUAAUAGUUUUGUAAGCUCACCUCUAAGCUUCAAUGAGGUACACUGCCAGAUGCUGACAUUUACGGCAACCUGGCUGAAAAACUGGCUGAAUUAUAUAGACACUGCAUAAAUAUUGUUUGCAAUUCUUCUACUGGUCUAACAUCAUUCAGAACAAAGGUUCAAAAGAAAAUGAUUGUCUUCAUAGGAAACCCCCAGCUUCCGUGGAAGGCUCCCAGAGGGUGAUCUAGUGACUGUCAUUAUUGUAAUUGACUUGAGUCUUGGAACCAUUCUCUAUGUCUUAAUUCUCUAAAGAAUUUAGACAGAUGCAUUUAUAUUCAAGCUUUAUGAAGCAUAGGCUUCAGAGUUGUCCCCUUUUAUGCAGCCCACUGAAAGGUGACCAUUGAGAGAAACUAUGGAAUAUUCUGCUUUCUUGAGGAGAAACUGGGUUUUGAAGGGAAACGUGUAUUCCAACUAUUCAUGGCCACUGCCUAAAGGGAGCUCGGAAAGAAUGUAAAUCUCUAAGCUGCCAGUCACUUGUUAUUUCAUUUUUCAUUCAAAACAUAGUUGCUUCUAAAUGUUCUCUUUGCCUCUGAUUUUAUAUUUACAAUUAUUUUGUAAAAGGUCCAUGUACAGAUUCAUGCCCACCUAACCUGCCUAACUCUAAUUACUGAGCACAAUAUUCAACAAUGAAGUAAGUAGAAAACAUAGUCAGUGUUCAUUAGUCACAAAUGAGUUGUCCAUGAUAAUUUGUAUGCUUUUCUGGGAUAACAAUUCUGUCUAGGGUACCUUUAAGAUUUCUUUCUAUGGGGUUGGGGAUUUAGCUCAGUGGCAGAGUGCUUGCCCAGCAAGCGCAAGGCCCUGGGUUCGGUCCCCAGCUCUGAAAAAAAAAAAAAAGAAAAAAAGAAAAGGGAAAAAAAAGAUUUCUUUUUAUGUGUACAGAAAGGAUGUUAACAUUCAGCAGGACUCUUAGAGACCUUCCACACACACUUUGUUUCGUAAUGAGUAGAAAGUCAGUUCCCUAGUUAAAUAUCAAUGGCCCUUGAAUUUUGACAUCUUUAUUCAGGACUCUUUCCUCUUUUUGUUUAUUUUUUUUAUUUUUUUUUUAAACUUUGGACAACAUGGGUAUCCCAGUCAGUAGAAACCGUGCUUCCCACUUUGAGUCUGGCUCUCCCUCUGAGCUAGCGAGUCACCCGCUGUGCUACACUCUCUCUCGAUGCUGGAACAAUAGCUGUUCAGUCAGGAGAGUACACGGCCCAUAGUCUAUAGUCUCCCGAGUUGUCAAAUGAUGACGUUCGCUCUGUCUGAUGUAGAAAAUGAAUUUUUUAUUUAGAAUAUUUCCAACUUACAGUGAGUUUCAGCUCCCCUAAUGAGCGGAGGGACAUCAACAAGAACUUGUUUCUAGGAGGCAGAAAACUUAAGGAGACUCAGACCUGUGUAGGUUUUGGAAUAGGUCAGAGGAGAGUUGGUGGGGAUUGUAUACACUGUGCUAGAAUAAAACUUCUACUUUGUUUCUCUUUUUGGCAAUCUAAGGUAACAACAAAAAGCCUUGCCUCUUUUUGCACUCAGUACAGAAAUGUGUGUGGUUUUUAAAGGGUAACGAUUUCAUAUUAUUCCAGUUUAUAUACAUUAAACAAUUUCUAAGAGCCUUUUAAGUCUAGGCAAGCAUGCUUCUAUAUUGCAGACUAAAGCAGAGGAUAUAGGUACGGUUUGGGACUGCUGGAAUUAGGGUUGCAGUAAUGUCCCCUCAGGGCUAGGACACCUCUUCAAAGCAGGCAUGUGCUCCCGAGAACACUUGGUGCCUGAAGACUUUGCAGUGACUGCAGUCUACACGGUGGCUCCAGGCUGAAACUGAACCCACUGUUAGCCCAUCCCCCAUCAGUCCGGAGCCAAGCCUUGAAAUAGCUCUGUUGCCGCCUUAAUGGCAUCUCGGACAGGAGCAAAUGUUCUCCACGGUGGCGCCUGUUGGCUCUAAUCAGAUAAAUUAAGGAGUUGAGCAUGUUUCCACCAUUUGGUUUAGUUUUAUUUUAGUCCCCAAGUCCCUUUGCUCCCAUUUCAAGGCUGACAUUUUCUCAUUGUGGAGGCCCCUGCUUUAUCACUGAAGAAGCUUCGAGUAGAAGCAUCACCUGUCUCACCCAUGCUGAGAUGCAACGUUUCCAGCAGACCAUUGCACGACUACACUUUGCUAUCACAAAGGCCAACUCUUCGUUUCACUGGGCAUGCUUCAACAUCCCCUUCACGAAGAAAUGGAUUCUCACUAGGCCUGAUAUCCUCCUAGUGGCAGAAGGCAUCCCAUAACUACAGUAGCUGCCAAGGAUGUCCUUCCGAGCUUAAGGAGUUGAGCAUGUUUGCACCAGUUGGCUUAGUUUCAUUUUAGUCUCCGAAUCCGUUUUUCCAAGCUGAACCAGAACCAACAGAUGACACCCUCUCUGUGCAUGUUCAUAAUUUCUCCUUUAAAACUGGAAGCAAUGUAAAAACAAGCAGAUGAGGAGGAAAAGGAAAGGCCAAUAGAGCUGACAGCCCUUGGCUUUGCCCUUCUCUGUGUCUGAUCCACUGAACUUCCCGUAAAUUGUCAAUCAACUAAUGAUUAGAGAAACAUUGUACUAAUCCAGUGAUUUCAUGAAUGAUCCAUCUACGAAAGGCUCUUUUCGCCUGGGGAUAGAAAUAAACUGCACUCAAGACAAUGAUCAAUGCAGAAGUAGUAGGGUCAUUGAAAAGCUUGCAUUCCUGUUUGAUGCAGAGUUACAGAACACCACUUUUGCCCAGGACGGUCAGCUCCUAGGAUGUGGCUGUGGCACGAUUUUCACCUAUUCUCACCCUCUUCUUGUCAUCCGGGUGGUCUCCUUCUUCAUUUAAUAUAACUUCACAUGUGAUCACCGCCCCUUAAGACACGCAGUUCUCAACCCUCCUACACAGCUUGUGCUGUUUCUGGAGAGGCUAACUCAUUCGGCUGGCAUUGUGCAAAGCAGGAAAUCAAUAAACAUUUAUUGAAUUAAUGCAGAAAAGACAAUUUUUCUUAUGAAACAUUCGAGUGGCUUAUUUUUAUUUAUUAACCCCUGAACUCAUCCAGUACAGUAUGAUGUGGAAAUUCUCACCACUUGUGAGAGUUUACGCCUGAGGAAGUGGAACAUUUGCCUGAAAAAAUGUUAUUUUCCAAGGAUAUACAAUGUUUCUACGGCUGAGGAAACACUGAACGGUUGUUUUUUAAAUUCAUUCAUUCAUUUAUUUAUUUUUACUUAUUCACUUUACAUCCUGCUCACUGCCUCCCUCCCUUUCACCCCCUCCCAAAGUCCUUCCCCCAUCCCCCCUCCCCUUCUCCUCUGAGCAGGUGGGGGUCCCUGGGAAUUCCCCACUAGAGACACUUCAAGUCUCUCGGGUUAUGCACAUCCUGUCCUAGUCAGAAAAGUCAGCCCAGCUAGAAGAACAUACAGGCAACAGCUUUUUGGGAUAGCCCCCACUUCAGUUUGAACUGUUACUCUUAAUCGCACUCAGGACCCUGCCUGCCUCCUCCCACCACACCAACAGAUCUUGAUAAGAUAGCUAUGUAACCUGCCUUCCAAACUGAGACACUUUGACCGUGAAAAUGCCAAACAUUCAGGACCUAACUUCUAGAUGCUCUACAGUUUGUUUGUCGCUGCACUAAGUCUGGAGGAGAGGAAAGCCAAUAAAAGUGUUAGCCUUUGUAGUUGACAUGGGAUGAUGUCAUCCCCAUAGGAAGUACCCUGGGAAAGACACAAUGUACUUCCGAUUUUUACUAUAUUACUUCCGAAAUUCCCAUUUCUUCUCUCACAUGUUUCUACCCUGGAUAGAAGCCCUGAGAAGCAAAUGCUGUGUUCUCAUGCAUGCCAGAAAGUGGUGACAUUGGGUGUUUUCUUUAGUUAUUCACUACAUUAUGACUUGAGACAGGUUCUCACAUUGAACCCGAAAAUCUCUGAUUGAGCUUAGCUGACUGGCAAGUGAACUUCAGGGAUGCCCCUGCCUCUCUCUCCCCAGUACUGGAGUCAUAAGGACACACCACCAUGGACAGAUUUUUACAUGGGUGCAAAGGAUAUGCGUUCAAGUCCUCAUGCUUGCCCAGCAAGCCCUUUACUGACUGAGCCGUCACCUAGCCCCUCACCUUUGAUAUAUGUGGGUUGAUGUCUACAUGCAGGUGAGGGUAGGCACAAAACAAGGCAAGGCCUGUGAUUGGUCAGUGAAAAAGAAAGGCAGGCUGAGAAUUUUAGAGACAGGACAGAGAGAUAGGAGAGAGGGGAGAAGGAAAGAAGAUGGAGGAAGAGAAGGACGACCCAGAUCUGUGUGACUUUUAAAUAGCCACAGGUAGCUAUGAAUAUCUUAUAAGGGAUAGAUAACUACAGGACAACUUGUCUUAUCUAGAUGGGCAGUUUAUAUCAAUAUCUAUUGGCUCUGAGUUUAUUGUGUGGACAUUUGGUGGGGUGAGAAUUUACUGAUAUAAAUCUGAUUGAUAAAUUAGAAGCCUCUACUUCUUCCUCGGUGCUGCCUGCGAGGUGGCUGCCCUCUAAUUGUGGCAUCAUGGCUGCCCUUUGGCCUCUGGUGAAGUCCAAGAUCGUCAAAAGAGGACCAAGAAGUUCAUCAGGCACCAGUCAAACAGAUAAGUGAAAAUUAAGCAUUACUGACAGAAACCCAGAGGCGUUGACAACAGGGUGAGGAGAAGAUUCAAGGGCCAGAUUCUGAUGCCCAACAUUGGUUAUAGGCCCAACAAGAAAGCCAAACACAUGUUCUGCCUAGCAGCUGCCAGACGUUUCUAGUCCACAGUGUGAGGGAGCUGGAAGUGCUUCGGUGCAACAAAUCUUCCUGGGCUGAGAUUGCUCUCGAUGUUUCCUCUAAGAACUGAAAAGCCAUCAUUUAAAGAGCAGCACACUGGUCAUCAGAGUCACCAAUCCCAGUGCCAGGCUACGCAGCGAAGAAAAUGAAUAGAUGGCUUGUGUGCUGUUCAAAUAAAUCCACACACACAAAAAAAAAGCAAGACUCUAGAGUUUUGAUUGUACUGGGAUACUGGGAAUUGUGACUAGAACCAGAGAGGGUGGAUGGCUGGGAAUGUGAGCAGAGUCUGCAGCAAGAAGGCUUUGAGAUUGGCAGUCUCUGCAUGGGGCUAAGCCAUAGAGGCAGAGAGACUGCUAGGGCCAGAAAGCAGUUAGCAUGGGAUGGUGUUUCCUUUUUUUUUUACUAUUUCCCGAUACAGUUAUAUUUGGAUAAUUUCGUCUGAGUUCAUUUACAGAUCUUUCUUAAAACAGAAUCCCAUUCCUUGCCCAGGCUGAUCUGAAACCAAUGUGAACCCUCAGUGGCCUUCAGCUGGCAGCAGUCUCCUGCCUCAGCCUUCCAAGUGUAAGGAUUACAGCAUGACUCAUCAUGCUCAACUAGACAUUAUCUGUCAAUGAACAACAACAAGAAUUAAAACCUCUUAGAGUUUCUAUAACAAACCCAUUCACUCAGCAACUUACAGAGCAACAACACCAACAAACAAAAACACCGAAACAGAUUCAACAAAGACAGGAAGCUAUUUUUCCAGUUUACUUGUUUACUGAGAUGGGACACAUCUUCUUCUCCACCACAGUGUCAAGCUCUCUCCGUAAGGGGCCCUUACUCGUCCUUGGGUAUCCAUUUUCAGGGAAUCCAGAAUGUUUUGCAGGGGAAAAAUCCUUCAUUUUAAUGAACUCCAACUUCUCUGUCAUGGAUACGUCUUUGGCGUUAUAUCUGAAAAGUCACUGCACUACCCUAGGUCACUUAGGCUUCCUCUGAUCACCCAAGAGUGUUGAAGCAUUAUAAUUUACCUUCAGGCUUAUGAUUUACUUUAAGUUAACAAUCUUCUUGGUAUUCUCUGAGAGCCCCAAAUCCACAGUUUCCUCAGUCGUAAUUAAUCUCUUGUAUGUCUAUCCUUUCAACUAAAUUCACUUGUAUGACUAAAGAAGACUCAAUUUGCCCACAUUAGGUUUUAGUUACUAAGCAGUAUACCUCCCUGUACCACAUGAUCAUGGGAGUAACCACUUCCUGAUUUAUCUAUCAUCUCCAAAUCACAUUGAGAAGGCUAGGCUGACUCCAUAACAGGCUUCAAAUUGUCAGUUCAGGAGAGUAGGCCUAAAUCUCUGUUUCCAAGAAGUGUGCAAGUCCAAGCAAGUCAAGGCCUCAGAAGCUGCCCCAUCACUGGGGCUGAGGCAAGGACAAUGUGUCAGCAGCAAUUU
ensembl:lncRNA